UUUUGAUCCUGGCUCAGGACGAACGCUGGCGGCGUGCCUAAUACAUGCAAGUCGAGCGGACAGAUGGGAGCUUGCUCCCUGAUGUUAGCGGCGGACGGGUGAGUAACACGUGGGUAACCUGCCUGUAAGACUGGGAUAACUCCGGGAAACCGGGGCUAAUACCGGAUGCUUGUUUGAACCGCAUGGUUCAAACAUAAAAGGUGGCUUCGGCUACCACUUACAGAUGGACCCGCGGCGCAUUAGCUAGUUGGUGAGGUAAUGGCUCACCAAGGCAACGAUGCGUAGCCGACCUGAGAGGGUGAUCGGCCACACUGGGACUGAGACACGGCCCAGACUCCUACGGGAGGCAGCAGUAGGGAAUCUUCCGCAAUGGACGAAAGUCUGACGGAGCAACGCCGCGUGAGUGAUGAAGGUUUUCGGAUCGUAAAGCUCUGUUGUUAGGGAAGAACAAGUGCCGUUCAAAUAGGGCGGCACCUUGACGGUACCUAACCAGAAAGCCACGGCUAACUACGUGCCAGCAGCCGCGGUAAUACGUAGGUGGCAAGCGUUGUCCGGAAUUAUUGGGCGUAAAGGGCUCGCAGGCGGUUUCUUAAGUCUGAUGUGAAAGCCCCCGGCUCAACCGGGGAGGGUCAUUGGAAACUGGGGAACUUGAGUGCAGAAGAGGAGAGUGGAAUUCCACGUGUAGCGGUGAAAUGCGUAGAGAUGUGGAGGAACACCAGUGGCGAAGGCGACUCUCUGGUCUGUAACUGACGCUGAGGAGCGAAAGCGUGGGGAGCGAACAGGAUUAGAUACCCUGGUAGUCCACGCCGUAAACGAUGAGUGCUAAGUGUUAGGGGGUUUCCGCCCCUUAGUGCUGCAGCUAACGCAUAAGCACUCCGCCUGGGGAGUACGGUCGCAAGACUGAAACUCAAAGGAAUUGACGGGGGCCCGCACAAGCGGUGGAGCAUGUGGUUUAAUUCGAAGCAACGCGAAGAACCUUACCAGGUCUUGACAUCCUCUGACACCCCUAGAGAUAGGGCUUCCCCUUCGGGGGCAGAGUGACAGGUGGUGCAUGGUUGUCGUCAGCUCGUGUCGUGAGAUGUUGGGUUAAGUCCCGCAACGAGCGCAACCCUUGAUCUUAGUUGCCAGCAUUCAGUUGGGCACUCUAAGGUGACUGCCGGUGACAAACCGGAGGAAGGUGGGGAUGACGUCAAAUCAUCAUGCCCCUUAUGACCUGGGCUACACACGUGCUACAAUGGACAGAACAAAGGGCAGCGAGACCGCGAGGUUAAGCCAAUCCCACAAAUCUGUUCUCAGUUCGGAUCGCAGUCUGCAACUCGACUGCGUGAAGCUGGAAUCGCUAGUAA
rnacentral:rRNA from 2 species